rnacentral:tRNA from 1 species
UUCGGCCAAAACAGCGCAUCAGGCUCAUAACCUGAAGGUCGUAGGUUCAAAUCCUACUCCCGCAACCA